UCUCCUUAUUAGAAAAUUACGACCAGCCUUUGACCAUAGAACCAGAGCUGAGAACAUCAAGAGCCAGCUGUAAUCAGUGCUAAAACUAGAGUGACUUAUGACAAAGAAUCAUACUUACAGAUAACCUCCAUCAAUAAAAGAGUCUAAGAGGCAUCAUUUUCAUAGGAGUUCAGAGCACAGAAGUUUUUCCCUGAGGCAUGGAGCUGUCACACAAACCAGAAGUCAUCAUGGGAAAGGGAAGUCUUCGGAAGUAGUUUU